AAUAUAUUGGCAGAAUAAAU
rnacentral:tRNA from 1 species